GCCGGCGGCGGCCUAACACAUGCAAGUCGAGCGGUAGAGAGAAGCUUGCUUCUCUUGAGAGCGGCGGACGGGUGAGUAAUGCCUAGGAAUCUGCCUGGUAGUGGGGGAUAACGUUCGGAAACGGACGCUAAUACCGCAUACGUCCUACGGGAGAAAGCAGGGGACCUUCGGGCCUUGCGCUAUCAGAUGAGCCUAGGUCGGAUUAGCUAGUUCGUGAGGUAAUGGCUCACCAAGGCGACGAUCCGUAACUGGUCUGAGAGGAUGAUCAGUCACACUGGAACUGAGACACGGUCCAGACUCCUACGGGAGGCAGCAGUGGGGAAUAUUGGACAAUGGGCGAAAGCCUGAUCCAGCCAUGCCGCGUGUGUGAAGAAGGUCUUCGGAUUGUAAAGCACUUUAAGUUGGGAGGAAGGGUUGUAGAUUAAUACUCUGCAAUUUUGACGUCACCGACAGAAUAAGCACCGGCUAACUCUGUGCCAGCAGCCGCGGUAAUACAGAGGGUGCAAGCGUUAAUCGGAAUUACUGGGCGUAAAGCGCGCGUAGGUGGUUUGUUAAGUUGGAUGUGAAAUCCCCGGGCUCAACCUGGGAACUGCAUUCAAAACUGACUGACUAGAGUAUGGUAGAGGGUGGUGGAAUUUCCUGUGUAGCGGUGAAAUGCGUAGAUAUAGGAAGGAACACCAGUGGCGAAGGCGACCACCUGGACUAAUACUGACACUGAGGUGCGUAAGC
rnacentral:rRNA from 1 species